rnacentral:tRNA from 1 species
AUUCCUUUAGCUUAAUGGUAAAGCAUAAUACUUCUAAUAUUAUUCAUCUAUGUUCGAGUCAUAGGAGGGAUU